GGGCUAUUAGCUCAGUGGUAGAGCGCGCCCCUGAUAAUUGCGACGGGCGAGGUCUCUGGUUCAAGUCCAGGAUGGCCC
rnacentral:tRNA from 1 species